rnacentral:rRNA from 1 species
UACGGAAGGGGGCUAGCGUUGCUCGGAAUCACUGGGCGUAAAGCGCACGUAGGCGGAUCUUUAAGUCAGGGGUGAAAUCCCAAGGCUCAACCUUGGAACUGCCUUUGAUACUGGGGAUCUCGAGUCCGGAAGAGGUUGGUGGAACUGCGAGUGUAGAGGUGAAAUUCGUAGAUAUUCGCAAGAACACCAGUGGCGAAGGCGGCCAACUGGUCCGGUACUGACGCUGAGGUGCGAAAGCGUGGGGAGCAAACAGG